rnacentral:lncRNA from 1 species
CUGUAUUUUCUAAAUCUGCAGUGCGGCUGCUUCUUCAAUGUCAGCUUUGAAGCAGCCGACUAUCCGAGUUGUAGCCAUUAUAGCAGAGGGAGUUCCUGAAUCAGACGCAAAGCAGCUAAUUAGCUAUGCACGUGCCAACAACAAGGUAAGGACUAUAUGUCACCAAUGUUCCAGAUAUCGGCAACUGGGUACCAUCUUGGUCGGGUGCUGAAUAGGGAUUAAUCGGCGAAUCAGCCAUUUAACUGAAUUUAUCGGUAAACCGUUCGGUAGGUUAACUAGGGUCAUACCAAACAUAUAGCUAAAUAUUUGUGUUAGCCAUAUUCUGCUUGUCCCUCUACUUUCCUUUCUUUUCUUUUCUUUCUACAUAAGGGCAUUUGGGCUGUCGACACUGCUGCUAGGCUGGAGCCCAUUCAGUCCACUACGGUUCCAGCGAUGGGUGUGUAAAAGAUUCCCCAUGCAGCCACUCUCCUUUCUCUCCUCCACCCUGGGUGACGAAUAGUCAAUCCCCCCCCCCCCUCUCUCUCUCUAUAUAUAUAAUAUAAUAUAUAUAUAUUGUAAUGAGUGGAGAUGAUCGUUAUUUUCGCCGAGGACACAUAAACGAUUAAACUGCAUAUUUAAUGUUUAUUUUUGCUAAGUUGUUGAGUGCUAUUUGUAGGUCAUCAUUGGACCUGCAACAGUCGGAGGAGUUCAGGCUGGUGCUUUCAAGAUUGGUGAUACGGCUGGAACCAUUGAUAACAUCAUUCAAUGCAAGCUGUACAGGCCUGGAUCAGUUGGUUUUGUGUCUAAAUCGGUAUGCUUUAAUUUCGUUGUUAAUAAGCUUACUUCAUCGCAUGUAUUUCUGUAUGAUUCAGAUCGGUCAAUAAAGUGACAGAAUAAAAAGAACUGCCCAUUGUGUCUGUAAUGACAACUUUAUUGUUUACAUAUGGAGUUCCUUAGAACCUUAGAACACCAUUAUGAUGCUUUUUUUUUUGUCAAUAUGGGGAGAGCUCUUGAUUUUCUAUUUGUUAUAUUUCCAGAACCCCACUUCUUAAUUUGAUGACCGAUUAGCAUAUAUUCUCAAAUGUAUAUUUUGAUUACUACUUACAAACCGAACUUCCAUUAUUUCAAUAGGGUGGCAUGUCAAAUGAGCUGUACAAUACCAUUGCAAGAGUGACCGAUGGUAUUUAUGAAGGUACCUUGUUUGUGGAUGUGAAUAAAUGUUAAUGUCACAUUUACUGAUUCACAUGACGUACUAACAUUUUCUGAACAUAUUCAGGAAUUGCAAUUGGUGGGGACGUUUUCCCUGGCUCAACUCUUUCAGAUCACAUUCUGCGUUUUAAUAACAUACCCCAGGUUUGACACUUAGCAUCUCUAUAUAGAAAUAGAUAGUGUUAACCUUCUUCCUGUAGUGUAUGAAUAUUCAUCAUAUUUGUUGCACAAUUGUCUUGUUAAUAUUAAUUUUUUCUUCUCUGACAUGAUUGGACAUCCAUAGGAUGUCACUGUAACAUGUUCCUUUGGCCCUGUUUGGAUACUCUAACUCAGUUAGAGGUUGGAGUUAGAUUCUAAUCCAUAGGAUGUCACUGUAACAUGUUCCUUUGGCCCUGUUAGUUAGAGGUUGGAGUUAGAUUCUAACCCUGAACUAACUCUAACCAAAGAGGUGUUUGGAUGGAAGGGUUAGAUUGACAAUAAAUGCUCUUUCUCAAUCAUUUGGUUACUUUGGACCCUAUUUCCUGCCGGAUUUAGUGUGGCCGGCUCUUGUGUGGCCUCCUCCCGCCGAGAGCUGCGCUGGCCGAGGCAGGCGGGGACACGCCCGCGCAAGGAGCCGCGCUGGCCUCUCGCGCAGCCCGCCGGCCGAAUCCGCCGUCCCUGCGCAAGGAGCCGCUCUGGCCGAGGCCGAUAGGGACGGGCCGCGCAAGGAGCCGCGACUGCUUACCGGUGGGCGGAUGGGCCGCGGGGAGACGAGGGGGUUGGAACGGGAGGAUAGGGCGGGGCUGCUUACCGGCGGGCGGCGGCGGACGGGAGCGCGGAUACGGCGAGGCGCCUUCACGGGCGGUGCGAGAGGGAGGGAGGGAGAGGACGAGAAGCUUCGAGGAAGUGAGGAGGGAUCCGCUGCGGGGAGAGCGAAAGAAAAAGGUGUUUUUUUAGUGGUCCCGAGGAGAACUAACCCAAAU